UACGUAGGGUGCGAGCGUUGUCCGGAAUUAUUGGGCGUAAAGAGCUUGUAGGCGGUCUGUCGCGUCUGCUGUGAAAAUCCGGGGCUCAACCCCGGACUUGCAGUGGGUACGGGCAGACUAGAGUGUGGUAGGGGAGACUGGAAUUCCUGGUGUAGCGGUGGAAUGCGCAGAUAUCAGGAGGAACACCGGUGGCGAAGGCGGGUCUCUGGGCCGAUACUGACACUGAGGAGCGAAAGCGUGGGGAGCGAACAGG
rnacentral:rRNA from 1 species